GGUGUGCGGGGAUGUGCUAAAAGAACGUUUUUCCCACUCUUCUUUAGGUCAAGUCAGGUGUCUUUGUUGUCAUUUCAACCAUGUGCAGUGUUACAGUACACAUUAGUGAGACAGCGUUCCUCAAAGACCAGGGUGCUACAUAUAACAGACAAUCAACACAGAACUACAUAAAGUGGGAGUCCAUGGCCAACUCAGUGACUGUAAUGUGCUCGGAUCCCGUGGCUUCAAUACAUCAUUCCUCCAUCACCAUGACUGAAAGUUGACAAGCAAGCCAUACUUGUUCAGUUCUUUUCUUUUCUAAAUGUACUUUCAUGAACUUUAACAUUUACCACACUAAACGAGACCUGUGGAUCUGAGAUGUAGCUCUUCAUUUUUUAUUUUAUUUUAUUUUAUUUUUGCCAUUUUCUCUGAGCAUUGGUCUGCCCUUGAGGUGAAUCUGUUAAGAUGCCUGAAUGCUCCAGACCAGCAAGGUGCCAAGCCUUCUGAUUUUAUAGAGGUGUUCACACCUGCUGAUGACCAGUAAAUGAAGUGCAUUUGAUUGAAUCCAAUUUUCAUAGGACAGCAAAAACUUUCUUUUUCUGUUGAAUAAAGUUAAAUUACUACACCUGAUGACCAAGAUAAAAUUUCAAGCAGCAGAA
ensembl:lncRNA